UACGUAGGGUGCAAGCGUUAAUCGGAAUUACUGGGCGUAAAGCGUGCGCAGGCGGUUCUAUAAGACAGAUGUGAAAUCCCCGGGCUCAACCUGUGAACUGCAUUUGUGACUGUAGAGCUGGAGUACGGCAGAGGGGGAUGGAAUUCCGCGUGUAGCAGUGAAAUGCGUAGAUAUGCGGAGGAACACCGAUGGCGAAGGCAAUCCCCUGGGCCUGUACUGACGCUCAUGCACGAAAGCGUGGGGAGCAAACAGG
rnacentral:rRNA from 1 species